GUGUUAUUCCUGAGCUUGAUGAAGGAAAUAUCUGUCCUGCUUGUCCCAAAACUGAUGGUGUGAUCUUUGAGUCUCUUGAUGCUCUUUUUAUUGGACGAA